UGCCAGUGAUGACAAACUUCAUAUUUUCUGACACCUCGUAUGAGAGCUGAAACAGCUCCUGAUUCCACUGCUUUUCUGAGGCUC
ensembl:snoRNA small nucleolar RNA SNORD60